UACGAAGGGUGCAAACGUUGCUCGGAAUUAUUGGGCGUAAAGCGCACGUAGGCGGUAUUGCAAGUCGGAUGUGAAAUCCCUCGGCUUAACCAAGGAAGUGCAUCCGAAACUGCAACACUUGAGUACGAAAGAGGAUCGCGGAAUUCCCGGUGUAGAGGUGAAAUUCGUAGAUAUCGGGAGGAACACCAGUGGCGAAGGCGGCGAUCUGGGUCGAUACUGACGCUGAGGUGCGAAAGCGUGGGGAGCAAACAGG
rnacentral:rRNA from 1 species